rnacentral:lncRNA from 1 species
AUCACCUCUUUGCAACAAUACUUUGAGCCUAAAUAUUAAAUUAGCCCAAACAAUCACCUCUUUGCAACAAUACUAUAUUAUUCCACAGCAAUAAAAAGAAAUAUGCAUAACUUUGAUCAAAGAAAACGUAAACAUCACUAAAAAAAUAAAUUUUUUUUCUCUAGAAAAAAAAUCACCAAAAUUUUUUUUUUCUGUCAAUAGUUUCAGAAAAUUACAGCAAACAAAACAAAAGAGAAAAAAAAGUUUCUUUCACUUAAACCUGAGAAAGAAUCAUGUUUUGAGCAAGCGAGCGGGCGGCCGAGCGAGCUGGGGCGCGAGCAAGCCGGGGCAUGAGCGAGACGGGAGAGGGAUUCGGUGGGUUUUGCGGAGGAGAAGAAAGAAAAAGGAAAAAGAAACGAAAUGGCGAGGGGGCGAGCGGGCGAGGUGGUAGGUGGGCGGGGUGUGGAGAAGGCUCUGAUAGGAGGAGAUCUGUGGAGAAGAAAGGAAAAUGAGAUGAGAUCUGUGGAGAAGAAAGGAAAAGAAAAAAAAAGAAGAGAGAGAGAGUGAGUGAGUGGGAGAGUGAGAGAGAGAGAGAGACAACGGAGCGUUAACAGAGCUUUUUGGAAACUUUUCACUUAAAGGGUUGCAUGGAUCUCGAUGCAAUCCGAGGGCUAUAAAAUGGGUGGCAAAGUUGGCUGGGUGCUAUCAAUAGCAUCCUAGCAUCCCAGUCCAACUCUAUAUAUAUAUAUAUAUAUAUAUAUAUAAAGUUGAGCUAGAAUACUAUCGGUAGCAAACGGGCUCCGUUACCACCUAUUUGUUUUUGAUGAUAGAGCCUCCAAAUUGACGAUCGGCACCGUUGAAAAUGAUCUAUACCACUUGAAAUAUCUAGAAAUCAAAUUUCAUACUUUCUUGAUAUUGUUCUCUUGUCCAUCAAGUGGGCGUAAAAAUGAAUGGCUGAAAAUGAAUAUCCUCUAAAAAGUGAUGAUAGGAAUUUUGUAGUCAAGAUUGAGAGGAUAGAUCUUGUUCUAAAUAGUUUAAAGAAUUUUCUAACCAAAAUUCAAUUCAUUUGGCUAGCAUUACACCGUUAAACGAGAAAACACCUCAAAUCUACCAUUAAAAUUACAAAUUUUGAAACCCGUUGAUCAUUAGGUCAAUGAUGUCGAAAAUGUUUGAAAUUUGGUUUCUAGAUACUUCAAGUGGUAUAGAUCAUGUUCAACGGCGCCGAUCGUCGAUUUGGAGGCUCCAUCAUCGAAAACAAAUGGGUGGCAACGGAACCCGUUUGCUACCGAUAGCAUUCCAGCUCCUCUCUCUCUCUCUCUAUAUAUAUAGGCUAGGGCUACUAUACUCUUAUGAGUAUAGAGCCCUUCAUGCUUAUAAGUUGCUUUCAAUGAUGAAGCUUCCAAAUCGAUGAUCCACUCCGUUAAAUAUGAUCUAGAGUAUUUGAAAUUUAUAGAAAAUAAAUUUCGUAAUUUUUCAAAAUCAUAAUAAAGUUCAUCAAGCGGGUAUAAAAUGAACGGUCAAAAUCGAACGACGUCUUAAAAAUGGAUGUUCGGAUCCUUCAAUUUAAGAUCGGAGUUAUUGAUCUUUAUCUAUAUAGUGAAUAGAAUUUUCUAUCAAAAAUUCAACCGAUUUCGAUUCUUUAACACCGUUAAACUAGCAAAUAUCACAUACCGGCCGUUAAAAAUUGCCAAUUUUGUGACCUUUUGAUCGUAAGGUAAAUGAUGUCGAAAAAUUAUAAAAUUUGAUUUCUAAACGUUUUAAAUGCUCUAGAUAACGUUUAAUGGUGUGGAUCGUCGAUUCGGA